UGGGGAAUAUUGCACAAUGGGCUCAAGCCUGAUGCAGCCAUGCCGCGUGUAUGAAGAAGGCCUUCGGGUUGUAAAGCACUUUCAGCGGGGAGGAAGGCGUUAAGGUUAAUAACCUUGGCGAUUGACGUUACCCGCAGAAGAAGCACCGGCUAACUCCGUGCCAGCAGCCGCGGUAAUACGGAGGGUGCAAGCGUUAAUCGGAAUUACUGGGCGUAAAGCGCACGCAGGCGGUCUGUCAAGUCGGAUGUGAAAUCCCCGGGCUCAACCUGGGAACUGCAUUCGAAACUGGCAGGCUAGAGUCUUGUAGAGGGGGGUAGAAUUCCAGGUGUAGCGGUGAAAUGCGUAGAGAUCUGGAGGAAUACCGGUGGCGAAGGCGGCCCCCUGGACAAAGACUGACGCUCAGGUGCGAAAGCGUGGGGAGCAAACAGG
rnacentral:rRNA from 1 species